GACGAACGCUGGCGGCGUGCCUAAUACAUGCAAGUAGAACGCAGUUGCGAACGGGUGAGUAACGCGUAGGUAACUGCCUGGUAGCGGGGGAUAACUCUUGGAAACGAUAGCUAAUACCGCAUACUACCAGAUGGACCUGCGUUGUAUUAGCUAGUUGGUGAGGUAACGGCUCACCAAGGCAACGAUACAUAGCCGACCUGGAAUGGUGAACGGCCCAACGGGGAAUGAGACACGGCCCAGAAUCCUGCCGGAAGCAGCAGUAGGGAAAUUUCGGAAAUGGGGGGAACCCUGACCGAGCAACGGCGCGUGAGUGAAGAAGGUUUUCGGAUCGUAAAGCUCUGUUGUUAAGGAAGCGGUACUUGACCAGAAAGCAACGGCUAACUACGUGCCAGCCGCCGCGGUAAUAC
rnacentral:rRNA from 1 species